AUGGAAUGACUCAUGUCUGCUGGAUUAAUUACUUGUUUUUCCCUACCCUCCUUAUAAUCUCUUGAUUCUCAGUUCUAAGAGUCAGAGGACUUUGCUCAGUGUUGUAUCCUCCAGCCUUGGACUAAGAUACAGAAAAGUGUCUCCAUAAGUAUUAUUAAGUAUUUCUAGGAAAAAUGAGUAACUUGAUCAAGGGAGCUUACCUCGACAGUGAUUUAGGCCUGUAUUGUUUUGUAGGGGGACAGCUUAGAACUGACAAAUUAAUGAAGUGCUACUUUGAAUAGUUUUGUAAAGGUUAACCUUUAAUAAUUUUCUGUGUUUUAGACAUUUAGUAAGUGAAUCUAAAGUUAGUUAAGAUGUACAUAUGUCUAGAACCCAAGGAAAAUAUGCAACUGAAAACUCUCAGUAUUGUUUCAUUAUUUUCUGUAAUUGAUAUGUUUUUUUUCAUUCCAGAGUCUCUCUGCAGAAGGCCACAAAUUGUCUAGCUCUCAAAAGGAUUAGGAUGCCCUCAGUGGCUCAGUAGCCAGGGUAGAUCCUGUCUUUGGUAAUCAGCAGCUACAUCUGGCUACUGGGUCUCUGGUGGCAUCAUCUAGCUUCAGCUAUGGUACCCAUAACAACGUUAUUGAAAUAAUAGCUUUAUCUAGAGCAACACACACAUGCACUGAUAGGCACACACACAGUUUUCAGUUCUAAUCUUCCAGUCGAUUUUGGAAGUCAUUCAGAGUUUGAAGAAUGAUGAGGAUAUUUGGGCCAUUGAUUGGUUUUCCUUCUUGUCCUCUUCUUUCCUCCCAUGAAUAUAUCAUUUUCUCUUUAGCUCUCUAUGUAUCAUCUUCCUAAAUAAUAUCUAUCAUUUCCUUAUCUGUACUUCCAUACAUCUCUUGACCUUUACAGGUCAUUUUAAAAUAGCAUGAUGAAUGACCACCAAUAGAAUUAUUUGAGGAAAUUUCACCUAUUGGACCCUGGUCUGUUUCUGUUCUUCCUCCAUCAUUGUCCCACGAUGUAUAUGAAGAACUCUCCAGUCUCCAUAGAUUCUGAACAUUUUAUUAUGUUGCAACAACUCACUACACUGUUUGCUCCCUGAAAGCAUACUCUAGAAUUUAAUGGACUGUCCACUACCACUGACAAUUGCCUAGGAAAACAUAGGAGCAGCUAUCUGAUGAAAUAACAAGGAGCUUACAUAUAAAGAGUUCAAGAAUGGCUUUCCAUGAUGAGAAGAAGGAAAUGGAAAUUGCUUCUAAAACACAGAUUUUAUAAUGUGGGUUGUCUACUCUUUUGAUAAAUAAAUGGAAACAUAGAAAUAAUUUUAGAAAGUAGCAAGGCAGGAUAAAAAUUUAUUAAUUGUUAUGUUAUAUAAACUAGAGACUUUAAUGAAGAAUUUAAGUGUUUUACAUUGUGACUUAACAAAUAAAAAAGGAGAAAAGGAGUACAAGUAAUGCAAAGAUCAAUGCUUGUAUAUAAUUAAUUGUUUAAUGAGUUUUUGUCACCUUGUGCUGAAUUUAAUGAAAAUAAAGCAAAUGACUUAUAAUUUUAAAAGAU